GAUGAACGCUGGCGGCGUGCCUAAUACAUGCAAGUCGAGCGAACAGAUGAGGAGCUUGCUCCCCUGACGUUAGCGGCGGACGGGUGAGUAACACGUGGAUAACCUACCUAUAAGACUGGGAUAACUUCGGGAAACCGGAGCUAAUACCGGAUAAUAUAUUGAACCGCAUGGUUCAAUAGUGAAAGACGGUUUUGCUGUCAUUUAUAGAUGGAUCCGCGCCGCAUUAGCUAGUUGGUAAGGUAACGGCUUACCAAGGCAACGAUGCGUAGCCGACCUGAGAGGGUGAUCGGCCACACUGGAACUGAGACACGGUCCAGACUCCUACGGGAGGCAGCAGUAGGGAAUCUUCCGCAAUGGGCGAAAGCCUGACGGAGCAACGCCGCGUGAGUGAUGAAGGUCUUCGGAUCGUAAAACUCUGUUAUUAGGGAAGAACAAAUGUGUAAGUAACUAUGCACGUCUUGACGGUACCUAAUCAGAAAGCCACGGCUAACUACGUG
rnacentral:rRNA from 1 species